UUGAUUGAAACCAAAAUAGAGGUGUAUCACUGUUAAUGAUAAAAUUGAACUUCAAGUUCCUCUCAAG
rnacentral:tRNA from 1 species